GAAGGUUUAGCUCGAUGCUCGGUUCAAGUGGUGUGCUCCAGAUCUCGUCUCUUCAGAUGGGACUUGGCAAACAAAACUUCCUCUGUGAAAUAAAGGAUUCAGGCUCCUACCAUGUGCGAGAGACCUCCUGAAAGACUCUUUCAUAUGGAGCCAAAGAGACUAGAGAGUGUCAGAGUUUUAAAGACAAAAUACUGCUGUCAGAAAGGUAUACAGACUUCAUACAGGAGGGACCCUUCACACAUUGGCAGCCUUUGAAUUCAGCUUUUAAAUAAAAGAUUUGUCUUCAGACAGAAAAAGUGAUGCCUUUUAUGAAUAAUAAGGCAUAAAGCAAUUUUUUUUUUUUUGGAUGAAACUGCCAUUCAGUGUAAAAUAAGCUGGCUCUUGAUUUAUUGAAAAGCCAAACUCAUAUUUCACCUUGGGGAAAUAACACAUCAUCCAGCUCACCAGUUUGCAGAUGCCUGAGAGACGUGGGUGUUGGUGCUGCCAAGGUUGGGAUUAGCUUUUGUGUCACAGGCCAGUCUGAGGGAAUAUAGUUCAUGUCUUGGACUACAGCUCUUAUCGGAGAUGAUGGGACGGAAGCUGAUGCAUGCAAAGAAGACUUAACAGGAUGUUGAACUCUUCCCAUGAUCACAAGGUUUUGUCUUUGAUAGACCUGAAGGGUUUUGACCCCAAGGAAGUUACCAUAACAGUGAAAGACAGG